rnacentral:lncRNA from 1 species
AUGCUUUAUUGACAUUGGUAACAAGUAAGGAGUACUAAGGACGUGAUUUCUGAAUCACUUCCUACACCAUUUUAGGAAGGCUAUAUGCGAGUCACUUAAGUAUGGUAAUCUAAGUUUAUUUAGGAUUCGGUUAUUGGAGGUGAUGGUGAUGGUAUUCGCUAAGAAGACCGAACGGGUUAAAAUAAGAGAGUAUAUUAGUGUAGUUUUUAUGCAUAUAAAGAUGUGAAAACAAUGCAGAAUUGUGCAGUAAUUUGCUAGAAUAUUGGUGCAGUUUGUAUGCAUAUCAAGUUGUCAAAAUAGUGCAGAAUUGUCAUGUUUAUUGUUGUUAAAAUAGUGCAGAAUUUUCAUGUUAAUUGUUGUUAAAAUAGUUGCAGUUUUUAUGCAUUUUGAGCUGCCAAAAUAGUGCAGAAUUGUCAUGUUUAUUGUUGUUAAAAUAGUGCAGUUUUUAUGCAUUUUGAGCUGCCAAAAUAGUGCAGAAAUGUGCUGUUUAUUGUUGUUAAAAUAGUGCAGUUUUU